AAAAAAAGCCUUGCGUCUCAAUCAGCAGAAAUAAUUUUUUCUUUGCAACUAAACCCUAAUAUUCAAUCUUUUUUUCUUCUGAACCCAUUCACCAUUUGUAUUUCGUUGUGCUGUAAGAUCUAACGAUGCGAAAGAGUGAUGAUAGGUUAAUACGAUUAUGGUUUUUACUGUACAACAAUCGCAAGGUUAAACAAAGAAAAGGUUUGCUUACCAUCUAUCCGCGGCCUGAUUUUUGGUCAUUGUUUUUUCUUUUUCUUUUUAGACAGUGAUUUCACUUAUUUUGUUGCAUUAUUAAAAUUUCUAUGGUCAAUACUCCAAAAUACAUGUUGAUUUUGCUCAUUGUUGUUAGAUUAUAGGGUUAAUAAUGAAAAUUAUGUAAUUCUAAACGGAAGUUCCGGAGAAAAAUGGUGAUUGCAAUUAAUAUGGUUUAUUUUGCGAGGUGCAUUCGAAUCUCUUAUUGUUCGGUAUGCAGGUUGAUAUUUUGUUGUCCAUAUACAAUGAAGAAAACAUGUUUUGUUUGUUUCAGAGAGUUGAGUGGAUUCAAGGGGUGAUAUUUAUCCUAACAGGUGCAUAACACAUGAAAUUGCACUAUGAAUUCUGGAAAUGCCUAACGUUUUAUGUAUUUGUUCAAACCUACUGCAAGCAUCAAAGACAGGUACUCUCUCUAACCUUUAAAAAAUUUAAUAUUGCCGAUUUUAGCACUUCACAGGUAACAUGAUAGACAUAGACUACACUAAUCUGAGUAUAAUCAUAGCUCAGCAGCCAACAUAUUGAAUUGGUUUAUUCUGUCCACAAAUACAAUUGUAUUGUUACAAUAAUUUUGAAUUUGUCGAAUCGUCUUGACUACUAUGAUUUUAACAACACCAGUCUAACCAUGUCGUUUAUUAACCAGGAUUAUGGGUCAUCUUUCUUACAGAUAUAGAGUAGCCCUGAUUUUCCUCUAUUUCUUACAAGUAUAUAUCAGCGCUGAUUUAUGUUAUUUCACAUUUUACCCUUACCCAAUUUAUUUUAACGAAGUAGGGAUGGGUUCCAUUUUGAGUAUCUCUCUACUUUGGAUUCUAUUUCCUGUAUUGAUUUUUUGGUAGUCUGGUAGCUUAUAUAAUAUCACGUUGUUUUGUCCUCGAGGAUUGCUACAACCAACUGAAUUUGGUUUGCAGCUUUAAAAACAAUCUGUGAAGACGUUGUGGUGGUUACAACUUAUAAAGGGAAUAAAACACGCUCGAGUAAUCGAGGUGAAUUUGGGGUCAAUUUAGUUAAUAAAGUGAAGUGCUGUCAUUUUUCUGGUUUUAUCAAUUUUCCAAAAUUUGUUGAUUAGGCUUUUUAAAUUCCUGUUAAAUGAGCUUCUCUUGCAUAUAAAAGAUGCUUAUAGAUGUUGGGAUGCUCUUGAUCCCAUCGAGGAUGUUAUGGUACUUUCGUGAGUCAAGUCUGGAUAUUUAUGUCUUUCUUAUUGGGCAAAUUCAUAUUUUUUACUA